rnacentral:rRNA from 1 species
GUGAGGAAUUUUCCGCAAUGGGCGAAAGCCUGACGGAGCAAUGCCGCGUGAAGGAUGAAGGCCUAUGGGUUGUAAACUUCUUUUCUCAGAAAAGAAUUAUGACGGUAUCUGAGGAAUAAGCAUCGGCUAACUCUGUGCCAGCAGCCGCGGUAAGACAGAGGAUGCAAGCGUUAUCCGGAAUGAUUGGUCGUAAAGCGUCUGUAGGUUGUUUAAAAAGUAUUCUGUCAAAGAUUAGGGCUUAACCCUAGAUAGGCAGAAUAAACUUUUAAGCUAGAGUUUGGUAGAGGCAGAGGGAAUUCCCGGUGGAGCGGUGAAAUGCGUAGAUAUCGGGAGGAACACCAAAGGCGAAGGCACUCUGCUGGGCCAAUACUAACACUGAGAGACGAAAGCGAGGGGAGCAAAUGGGAUUAGAAACCCUAGUAGUCC